rnacentral:misc_RNA from 1 species
AAAAAUCAAUGUCUGCAUACCAGAAAAAUAACCAUUGUCUAAAUACCAAAAACUGACAAUCCGUAACUCAAAAUACCAAAAUGCCAAAUCAAAUCUUCUAGCCACAUGGCCUUAAUCGAAAUCUCACUAAAUGAUCCAAAAUAAGAACAAAUGGGUUUUCAAUGCCCAUUCCUUUGAAAUCAAAAGCUUGUUGACAAAUUUCAACAGUGAUCAUUCCCUUUCAGCUUCGGCUUCAAUUAAGCAAAUGCAUGAAAAUUCAAAGUUCAAGCACAAUGCUGACAAUACAAUGCCGAUGCAUUUCAACAACAGAAUUUUAAAUUCUUAAAUAACAAGUUAUCUGGGUUUCUUUGGGUUUUGUAAGAAAUAAAGAUAUGACUUUGGCGAUCUACACGAAAUAUAGGAAAUCAAGGAAAAGAAGCAGACACAAUGAAGAAGAUGCUCAACAAAUAAGCAAAGAAGAAGCUCAAGAAAAUAGCCAAAAAGAUCCAACCUAUCAGGCUAUCAUGCAUAAACACUACGUGGCACGCACAAAUGGCAGGUCAAGCUCCUCUCUGAUUUUGGUACUUGAAUUUUCCUACUUUUUUUGAUAAAAAAGUUCACUGAAAGCUAAGAAGUGGGAACAAAUGCAAUAAAUAAGGAGUGUCCUUUAAAGUAUUUAAAGUAUAGAGUGUCCUUUCAUUCAAAUCAAACAAAUCUUCUCAAAGGCAUAGAGUUUACUUUAAGUUCAUUUUUGUUUUGGGUUUCCCUUUUUUUUGUCUGGUUGUUUUCGCUUCAAAUUGCUUGAUGAAAAUAUGUACAUAAAUAUUAUGAUAUCAUGAUUAUGUUAUAGGGUUUAGAGAUUUGAUUUGGGACUCGCAAUAUUUUGAUCGAGGGAUUGUGUUCUUAUAGUUUAAAACAUUUUAUUUUUUAAAAAUUAAUUUUAAUUAAUUAUAAACAAAUUAUUAUUCAAGAGUGGGACCCACAUCAUGUAACAAUAUAUUUUAUUUAGAAAAAUGUGCUUCAUCAUCAAAACCAAUUGUCAUUAAGAGAUCAGGCCUAAAUUUGUUAACAGCAUAAACCAAAGAGUAUUAAAU